rnacentral:rRNA from 1 species
UACGAAGGGGGCUAGCGUUGUUCGGAUUUACUGGGCGUAAAGCGCACGUAGGCGGAUCGAUCAGUCAGGGGUGAAAUCCCAGAGCUCAACUCUGGAACUGCCUUUGAUACUGUCGAUCUGGAGUAUGGAAGAGGUGAGUGGAAUUCCGAGUGUAGAGGUGAAAUUCGUAGAUAUUCGGAGGAACACCAGUGGCGAAGGCGGCUCACUGGUCCAUUACUGACGCUGAGGUACGAAAGCGUGGGGAGCAAACAGG